AAGAACAACAGGGAUUGCCUCAGUAACGGCGAGUGAAGCGGCAGAAGCUCAGAUUUGAAAUCUGGUGUUAUAUUAACAUCCGAGUUGUAAUCUGUAGAGGAGUUUUUUUUGAGUAUUACUUUGGUUAAAGUUCCUUGGGAAAGGGCAUCAUAGAGGGUGAGAAUCCUGUUUAUGAUCAUAGUAUUUCUCAUAUAUAAAUCUCCUUCAAUGAGUCGAGUUGUUUGGGAAUGCAGCUCUAAAUGGGUGGUAAAUUCCAUCUAAAGCUAAAUACUGGCAAGAGACCGAUAGCGCACAAGUAGAGUGAUCGAAAGAUGAAAAGAACUCUGAACAGAGAGUUAAAGAGUACGUGAAAUUGUUGAAAGGGAAGCACUUGUGACCAGACAAAAUUACAAUUAAUCAGCCAUCAGUCUUGGUGGUGCACUUGAUUGUAAGUGGGUUAGCAUCAGUUAUAGCAGUAGGAUAAAAAUCAAAGGAAUGUAGCUCCUCUUUGAGGAGUGUUAAAGCCUUUAGUUUAAUGGUACUUGCUAUAACUGAGGAUAGCACUUUCAAGUAAGGAUGCUGACAUAAUGGUUUUAAGUGACCCGUCUUGAAACACGGACCAAGGAGUCUAACAUCUAUGCGAGUAUUUGGGUUUUUAAGCCCUUAUGCAGAAUGAAAGUAAAUGGAGGUGGAAACCAUUAGGUGCACCAUCGACCGAUCCUGAAGUCUUCUGAUGGAUUUGAGUAGGAGCAUAGCUGUUGGGACCCGAAAGAUGGUGAACUAUGCCUGAAUAGGGUGAAGCCAGAGGAAACUCUGGUGGAGGCUCGCAGCGGUUCUGACGUGCAAAUCGAUCGUCAAAUUUGGGUAUAGGGGCGAAAGACUAAUCGAACCAUCUAGUAGCUGGUUCCGGCGAGUUUCCCC
rnacentral:rRNA from 1 species